AUCUUUCUAGUAUUCAAAGCUAGUACAAGUGGCUUCCAAUCACCCGGUCUUGGUUAAAAUCCAAGGAAAGAUA
rnacentral:tRNA from 1 species